rnacentral:misc_RNA from 2 species
AGUAGCCGCGGUAAUUCCAGCUCCAAUAGCGUAUAUUAAAGUUGUUGCAGUUAAAAAGCUCGUAGUUGAAUUUCGGGAUCAAUUAAUUGGUCGUGCCUCUGGUACGUACUGAUUUUAUUGGUUUCUCCCUUCUGACGAACCAUGAUGUCAUUAAUUUGGUGUCGUGGAGAAUCAGGACUGUUACUUUGAAAAAAUUAGAGUGUUUAAAGCAAGCUAACGCUUGAAUACAUUAGCAUGGAAUAAUGAAAUAGGACGUUUGAUCCUAUUUUGUUGGUUUCUAGGAUCGACGUAAUGAUUAAUAGGGAUAGUUGGGGGCAUUAGUAUUCAAUUGUCAGAGGUGAAAUUCUUGGAUUUAUUGAAGACUAACUACUGCGAAAGCAUUUGCCAAGGAUGUUUUCAUUAAUCAAGAACGAAAGUUAGGGGAUCGAAGACGAUCAGAUACCGUCGUAGUCUUAACCAUAAACUAUGCCGACUAGGGAUCGGAUGAUGUUAAUUUUUAAUGACUCAUUCGGCGCCUUAC